AACGAACGUUAGCGGCGCGCCUAACACAUGCAAGUCGAACGCGACUGGGGCAACUCUGUUGAGUGGCGCACGGGUGAGUAACACGUAGGUAAUCUCCCCCGAGUGGUGGAUAACCUUCCGAAAGGAGGGCUAAUACAGCAUAAGACCACGGCUUCGAAAGGAGCUGAGGUCAAAGCGGAGGAUCGCAAGACUUCGCGCUUGGGGAUGAGCCUGCGGCCCAUCAGGUAGUUGGCGGGGUAACAGCCCACCAAGCCUAAGACGGGUAGCUGGUCUGAGAGGAUGAUCAGCCACACUGGAACUGAGACACGGUCCAGACUCCUACGGGAGGCAGCUGUGGGGAAUCUUGCGCAAUGGACGAAAGUCUGACGCAGCGACGCCGCGUGGGUGAUGAAGGCCUUCGGGUUGUAAAGCCCUGUGGGGAGGGACGAAUAAGUUUCAGCUAAUACCUGAAGCGAUGACGGUACCUCCUUAGCAAGCACUGGCUAACUCUGUGCCAGCCGCCGCCGUAA
rnacentral:rRNA from 1 species